UACGAAGGGGGCUAGCGUUGUUCGGAAUUACUGGGCGUAAAGCGCGCGCAGGCGGUCUUCCAAGUCAGUGGUGAAAGCCCGGAGCUCAACUCCGGAACUGCCAUUGAAACUGUAAGACUUGAGGAUGAGAGAGGUGAGUGGAAUUCCCAGUGUAGAGGUGAAAUUCGUAGAUAUUGGGAAGAACACCGGUGGCGAAGGCGGCUCACUGGCUCGUAUCUGACGCUCAGGCGCGACAGCGUGGGGAUCAAACAGG
rnacentral:rRNA from 1 species